rnacentral:rRNA from 1 species
AGAGUUUGAUCCUGGCUCAGGACGAACGCUGGCGGCGUGCCUAAUACAUGCAAGUCGAGCGGAGUUGAUAGGGAGCUUGCUUCCUUGAGACUUAGCGGCGGACGGGUGAGUAACACGUAGGUAACCUGCCCAUAAGACCGGGAUAACAUUCGGAAACGGAUGCUAAUACCGGAUACGCGAUUCUCUCGCAUGAGAGAGUUGGGAAAGGCGGAGCAAUCUGUCACUUAUGGAUGGACCUGCGGCGCAUUAGCUAGUUGGUGAGGUAACGGCUCACCAAGGCGACGAUGCGUAGCCGACCUGAGAGGGUGAUCGGCCACACUGGGACUGAGACACGGCCCAGACUCCUACGGGAGGCAGCAGUAGGGAAUCUUCCGCAAUGGACGAAAGUCUGACGGAGCAACGCCGCGUGAGUGAUGAAGGUUUUCGGAUCGUAAAGCUCUGUUGCCAGGGAAGAACGCUAG